rnacentral:misc_RNA from 1 species
UUGAAUAAACUUGAACAGGCUGUUGCUCAUCUGGUGCACGCUUGUCAUCUUUAUCUCUCCCACUGUGCACACAUUGUAGACCUGGAGUUUUGAGAACUGCUGUGCUUUCUGAAGUCAGCUUUCUUGUUGUGGUUUUCCUUCUGGGUCUAUGUAAAAUUUUCACAAUCUCUGUAACAUGUUUGGAAUGUUGAAUUUGGAUAACAAUAUA